GUCAGGAAUCACGAGGUCAUGAGAAGUUAGGGUGGCCCUAGGUUGGUGACCAGCAACCACUGAGAACAAGCCCGGGCAGGCCUGGCAGAAAAAGAGAAAGGGGCACUGGUCUGACCCCAGAAAAGUGGGUGCUGCUUCUGGUUCCCAAGCUGCCGUGGCCAAAGGUCUGUUUGUGUUUCUCAGGUGUGGAGGCAAGUGCCCUGUAAUUCUGCAGCUCAUCUCCUCUGCCGUGGCCUGAUUCUAUGGGUCGGACCUCUACCUGCUUCCUCCCACAGGGCUGGAAGCCCAGACAUGGUCUACCCCACUUUCCUUGCCAGAUCCUCUGGCCUCUCUUCCCAGCCCAGGACCUGAAUUGCCUAGAUCGCAGCUCCCAGAAGGAGAGAGCUGCAGAGACGUCAGAUGGAGGCCAUAGAGUGAGGAUGCCAGGAUGCCCAGGACCUCAGUUUGAAAACCACUGAGCUGCCAAUCCCACCUCCUGAUUUUACAGAUGCUGAAUGUAAGAGGAGAACUUGGUAGCUGACACAAAGCUCCAUCCAGGAUCCAGUCCCUUCUCCACGAGAUUCAGCAUCAGUCAGCAGUGAUCCCAUGACCACUGGGAACCAAACGCUGUCCUAGGCCUUCCUUGUGCUCCCUCUCCAUCUCCAGCCAAAGUGGGUCGAGCUGAGGGACAGGGAGGUGAUCUGGAAAGAGCAAGUGCAACUCUCUGCUCUGCCGUGUAUCAGCUGUCUGUUUAAUCACAUCCUCAGAACCUCAACUUCUUCACCUAUAAAAUGUGAAUAAAUAGAACAGACCUUGAGAGACCCAAGUGAAGCUUCAAGGAGAGAGGGCAGCGCAUCUACAAAAUCAGCCCAGGGCCUGCCCGCUGAGCACUUCCUGUCGGCUUGCUUCUCUUCCACUUUCUCUGAGCCUCAUUCCUCUGGGACCCCAUGACCCCUGUCGUGGCUCUGCCCUCAAAAACCCCUCUCAUCUCUCGGGGAAUCAGAGUGGAGUCAGAAGAAAGAGGCUUAAUUGAGAAGGUUUUUCUGGUUUCUCAAAAGACCACGAUUCUGGGGAAGAGAGGCUCAGGAUGGGUAUGAGAGAGGAAGCCCUCAGGCAUAUAGAAUAUGGCCGCAGAGGGACAGGAGUGUUACCUUGGGGGGGGGCGGAGUCCUGCUUUCCUGGAGGAGAGUGGGCGAGUGGGCACUACUCCAGCUCCAGAGCAUGGAUCGGAUAGGCCGGGCGGGGGCUGGGCCAGGCGUGGCUCUUCUGCCAGCCUGCCCUCAUGGUCCAGCCCAGAACUUGCACAACAGCCUGGCUUGCUGGCUGCCUGUUUGGCUGGCAGUCCCCUGGGAACCUUAGGAAGUCCCCCUUGUCCUCCCCUUGACCUUUGACCCCUUAGGCCUGCUACAGGCCAGAAUUCCAGGCAGCUGUCCUCUCUUUUACCUUCUGUUCCUGGCCAUUUCCCUUUAAGCCUGGGACUAGGAGACACCCCAAACCCCUACCUUAUAGCUCAU
rnacentral:lncRNA from 1 species